GCUAUUUUAUUUUCUUUUCUAUUCUAACGUUUUAUGGUCUUAUUUUCUGUUAAUUUUGAACUUAGUUUUAUUUUUAUUUUUUUUCUUAAUUAUGAGUUCGUAUUUCUUUUACAUGGUUUCUUCGUUUUAUUUGGUUGUGUUUUGAGUAGUUUUUACAUCAAAAAAUGAGGGAGGAAAUAUCUUCUCAAGGUUGUACUGAAUCACGGCUAUGUUAGUCUUCAAAUUUUC
rnacentral:lncRNA from 1 species